CAAAAUUAAUGGGACACUUGACUCAAAAAUUAUUUCAUGGACAGGUGUGGGCUAUUCCCUCAUUAUGUCAUCACCAGUUAAGCAGAUAAAAGGUCUGGAGUUGAUUCCAGGUGUGACAUUUGCAUUUGGAAUCUGUUGCUGUUACCUCUCACGGUCACUGUCAGUGAAGCAAGCCAUCAUUAGGCUGAAAAAUCAAAACAAACCCAUCAGAGAAAUAGCAAAAACAUUAGGUGUGGCCAAAUCCACUCUUUGGAACAUUCUUCAAAAGAAAGAAUGCACUGAUGAGCUCAGCAACACCAAAAGACCUGGAAGACCACUGAAAACAACAGUGAUGGACAACAGAAGAAUUCUUUCCCUGGUGAAGAAAAACCCCUUCACAACAGUUGGCCAGAUCAACAACACUCUCCAGAAGGAAUAGCCAAAGUUCGACUCAUGAGGAGGACCGUUAUGGAUCUUGUGUAAAGAAAAAAAGUAAGGUUUGCUUAUUAUUCAUAGCAAGAAAAGGAUGUUCUCACAAGAGGUUGGCAUCUUUGGACGAGAGGAAUAUCCAUUCUUCCCCCUCCUUGGCUCCCCCCUCCUCGUUGACCACGUGCUGUAUGGCCCG